rnacentral:rRNA from 1 species
AGAGUUUGAUCCUGGCUCAGGACGAACGCUGGCGGCGUGCCUAAUACAUGCAAGUCGAGCGGACAGAUGGGAGCUUGCUCCCUGAUGUUAGCGAGGGAGACGGGUGAGUAACACGUGGGUAACCUGCCUGUAAGACUGGGAUAACUCCGGGAAACCGGGGCUAAUACCGGAUGGUUGUUUGAACCGCAUGGUUCAAACAUAAAAGGUGGCUUCGGCUACCACUUACAGAUGGACCCGCGGCGCAUUAGCUAGUUGGUCAGGUAACGGCUCACCAAGGCGACGAUGCGUAGCCGACCUGAGAGGGUGAUCGGCCACACUGGGACUGAGACACGGCCCAGACUCCUACGGGAGGCAGCAGUAGGGAAUCUUCCCCAAUGGACGAAAGUCUGACGGAGCAACGCCGCGUGAGUGAUGAAGGUUUUCGGAUCGUAAAGCUCUGUUGUUAGGGAAGAACAAGUGCCGUUCGAAUAGGGCGACGUACCUUGACGGUACCUAACCAGAAAGCCACGGCUAACUACGUGCCAGCAGCCGCGGUAAUACGUAGGUGGCAACCGUUGUCCGGAAUUAUUGGGCGUAAAGGGCUCGCAGGCGGUUACUUAAGUCUGAUGUGAAAGCCCCCGGCUCAACCGGGGAGGGUCAUUGGAAACUGGGGAACUUGAGUGCAGAAGAGGAGAGUGGAAUUCCACGUGUAGCGGUGAAAUGCGUAGAGAUGUGGAGGAACACCAGUGGCCCAAGGCGACUCUCGCUGGUCUGUAACUGACGCUGAGGAGCGAAAGCGUGGGGAGCGAACAGGAUUAGAUACCCUGGUAGUCCAC